UCUGACGGAGCACGCCGCGUGAGUGACGAAGGUUUUCGGAUCGUAAAACUCUGUUGUGAGGGAAGAACAAGUACCACGUAACUACUGGUACCUUGACGGUACCUCACCAGAAAGCCACGGCUAACUACGUGCCAGCAGCCGCGGUAAUACGUAGGUGGCAAGCGUUGUCCGGAAUUAUUGGGCGUAAAGCGCGCGCAGGCGGUCCCUUAAGUCUGAUGUGAAAGCCCACGGCUCAACCGUGGAGGGUCAUUGGAAACUGGGGGACUUGAGUGCAGAAGAGGAAAGUGGAAUUCCACGUGUAGCGGUGAAAUGCGUAGAGAUGUGGAGGAACACCAGUGGCGAAGGCGACUUUCUGGUCUGUAACUGACGCUGAGGCGCGAAAGCGUGGGGAGCAAACAGGAUUAGAUACCCUGGUAGUCCACGCCGUAAACGAUGAGUGCUAAGUGUUAGGGGGUUUCCGCCCCUUAGUGCUGCAGCUAACGCAUUAAGCACUCCGCCUGGGGAGUACGGCCGCAAGGCUGAAACUCAAAGA
rnacentral:rRNA from 1 species